CUAAUCAGGGCCUUUGAAACGCAAUCCAACGGCUAAGAUUAGCCCGUACCCCUUCGCCUGCGAAUUAUUCUAAAGAGCCCCUGGCCUUCUUAUAUAUCAAACCUGCAGUCCAAAGCGGCACUGUGGAAUACGUCAAUGGCUUUUGAAAACGUAUUUCACCUCGGCUUGAUUCAAAAUACGUUUUUAGUAUUUACAAGUUUGCCACUGAUUUUGUUUUAGUCAUAAAAUGCUCAAAUUAACUCCGAUUUGACCCAUUCAAAUUGCGUUGGAUUCGUAAUCACA
rnacentral:lncRNA from 1 species